GGAAAAAGCGGAGCCGUAGCGAAAGCGAGUCUGAAUAGGGCGCAUAAGUAACAGGUCGUAGACCCGAAACCAGGUGAUCUACCCAUGUCCAGGAUGAAGGUAAGGUAAUACUUACUGGAGGUCCGAACCCACGCACGUUGAAAAGUGCGGGGAUGAGGUGUGGGUAGCGGAGAAAUUCCAAUCGAACUUGGAGAUAGCUGGUUCUCUCCGAAAUAGCUUUAGGGCUAGCCUCGAGGUAAAGAGUCAUGGAGGUAGAGCACUGUUUGGACUAGGGGCCCUUCUCGGGUUACCGAAUUCAGAUAAACUCCGAAUGCCAUGUACUUAUACUCGGGAGUCAGACUGCGAGUGAUAAGAUCCGUAGUCGAAAGGGAAACAGCCCAGACCACCAGUUAAGGUCCCCAAAUAUAUGUUAAGUGGAAAAGGAUGUGGGGUUGCUUAGACAACCAGGAUGUUGGCUUAGAAGCAGCCACCAUUGAAAGAGUGCGUAAUAGCUCACUGGUCGAGUGACCCCGCGCCGAAAAUGUACCGGGGCUAAACAUAUUACCGAAACUGUGGAUGAACCUCUUUAGAGGUUCGUGGUAGGAGAGCGUUCUAAGGGCGGUGAAGUCAGACCGGAAGGACUGGUGGAGCGCUUAGAAGUGAGAAUGCCGGUAUGAGUAGCGAAAGAAGGGUGAGAAUCCCUUCCACCGAAUAUCUAAGGUUUCCUGAGGAAGGCUCGUCCGCUCAGGGUUAGUCGGGACCUAAGCCGAGGCCGAUAGGCGUAGGCGAUGGACAACAGGUAGAGAUUCCUGUAC
rnacentral:rRNA from 1 species